GUCCAUCCACAUUCUAUAGGUACAUGUCUACCUGAGUGAAAGCUCAUUGACUCUAUAUUACUGUAUAAUGGUGGAAAUGCCAUCAUCUUUUCAGUGCUUAAUGUUCUGACGUCACGGCCAUAUCUAAAAGUAACAUGAAGCAUCGUCACCAUUUUGGAUUUGGUCACAGCCAUAGCUUGAACAUGAAUCACCAUGAAGGUGGCUAUUUUAGUUGCUGAGACUGAGACCCAUGAACCAAAUCCCUACUCCUAAGAAGUAUUGCUUUUAAAAUGGAACUUUAUUUUGGUUCUUUUGAAUUGAUAUAAAAGCUAGAAUAAGGAGGGUUCCAGAUAUGUAAACUAGAAAUAUAUGGCCCUUCCAUACAAGAAGGGACCUGGCUUUGAUUCCCAGAUCUACUAAGCUUUUAUAUCUGCCUUGUUGUCGUUACAGUUUUCAAAUGCAUAUCUUUGUCUUUUGUGUGCACAUUUUUGGGGUCAUGUAGCUGGGAUUGGAGAAACCCACACUAUUUCGCCCAGUGCCCUUCAGACCACUCACCCACAGAGGAGCCGUAGGAAGUCAGGCUGGGAGACCUGCCCUCUAACAUUAGUUUCCAGCAAAUUUACAUGGUUCAGAGGGGUAGAAUUUUUCUUCUUAUCUGUACCAUAAUCUGUUGGCUUGAAUUAUGAGUCACAGAAGAAUGAAGACUUCUUUAGCUGUGAAAGUUUCAGCAAGAAUAAAUGUUAGACCUAUGGCAUUAGUUUAAUGCAAAAUAAGAUAGCAUUUAAAGAUAGUCUCUGCUCCAGCAUCAUAUUGACAAUGCCCCUCACUUGAGUCAGGGAUUGGGGACUGACUGAGAUGCACCAUCUGGCAAAAUACGGAAGGCCAGUCUUGUGCCAACUGAGAAAGCUGCAUCAGUUCCAACUCUGUGUACUUUGCACGUUAUUGGAUGCCUUGCAAACGUUUAUCACUUUUUAAUUAGGAAGGGCUAAGGGAUUUUAGUAUCCCAAAGAACAUGUCAGCAACCCAAAGAUAGAAAAACUAUCCAAUGGAUCAUAAGAGGCGAUAAGUAUUUAACUUCGAGCUUGCACAGGAAAUGAGGACAGUUUCAUACUAGGAUCUUUCUUGGAUGAUGUGAGGGUGGUAUGUCCUUGAUCUGUCUGGAUGGAACAGGAGAUCUGGUCUUUCUGUUAUCGUGACAGUUCCUGAGCUUGUUUCUUCUGCAGCCUGGCCAGUCUCUGAAAGCAUAUGCCAAGAGAUCAACUCUGCUCUGCUUCUUAGCCUAUCAUGUAAACCGUGGCCUGUCAUGUUCGUUAAAAUGAAAAUUUGUCGAAUGGAAUUUGCCCGACUGGCAGAAUAGUUUAAAUGUCAGAUGUUGUUAGGCCUGGAUAUAAAUAUUAUGUUUCUAUUGUUAAUUAAUUGCAGUGCCUCAGUACCAGUGAUCCAAAAUCCAAUUUAGUCUGCAAUAGGCCUGUGGAUAAGGGCCAGAGAUAAUGAAUGCAGAGGGAAAAAUGUAUUCAGAAUUUCCAUUGUAUCUGUCAAUGUCCUCUUAGGAAAACAGCAAAUUUUGAUGUGUCACUAUAGUUCAAGAGGGGCGAAACAGUGCAGAAUUAAGACUCAUUGUCUUUUGAAACCUUCAAAUGUUACUUACUAUUGAAUCUAUUCCACUGCGAGCCCUGAGUCCAUUCCAACAUCAAAAUUUCUGAUACAUACCGUCCUGCUCCCUUCCCUUGAUUUCCUGCCAUGCUUUGCACCCCUGAUCUGUUGUUCUGUUCAUGGCUCAUUUCAGAGUUGUGGGACUGAGGUGUCUAGUCUUGCAAUCCUCCUUCACAGCGUUCACUGUUCUCUUUUUGUUUGGCCAUCAACCUUUCCAUUCCUUUUCUUCCCAUCCUUUGUUUUGGUCCCCAGGCUCAGCAGCCUGUCUGUCAAGUCUGCCACUGUUUGUUAAGAUCAUUUUGCUUCCAAAUUGAGCUGGUAGCUGAAUAUCACUCGAGAUAAUGCUGCUAGAACUGUCUGCAUUAGAAAAGGAAGCAGAACUCUUGCCGCUGGUGCCCAGACCUCAGAGCUGACUGUUGUUGCAAAGCCGUGAGCCAGCAGGCAUUUGUGACCGCCAUUCUCAACCAAUAUUUUGUGGAAAGCUUGCUGUGAGCAUGGCAUCUUACCUGGCCAGCUCCCUGGUGGUGGGGGUGCCAGGCAGAGGAGGACUAAUUAAGACUUUGGAAGGCAGGACUAACGUGUUCCAGUGGUCAGGGAACCUCAUUUAAUUCCUGGCAUCCUGGUUGGUGCCAACCUCGUUCUGCCCCUGCGAUUAUGCCAGCCGAGAAGCAGAGAAGGGAAGAUGAACUUUGGUCUGCUCUGAGCUUCCCUGUCCAGCAGUGUUUGUCAGAUUAAAAAUGAGAGGGAACGAGGCCAGAGAAUCUUCCAGAUGGAGAGUUCAGAGGAGGGCACAACCAGACUCCCUCUCCACAGUGAUGUUGCCGGGCCAUCCGCGUGGUGGGCUGGGAGCCAGGAGCACAGGCUGCCGCCUGACCCUGCGGGGGAGUGAGGGCCUGGCAGAACGGUCACCCUUGGCUCAGGGUGGAGGCAGAGUCAAACCAGGCACACGCAGGCCACGUGGCCAAGGGAGAGCAUUUCCUCCAGGGUUGGGUCAGUCGGGUCUGACGUUGGGCCCCUCCUUCUGGACUCCGCUUGAGGGCGCUUCCCCCAAGUCGCAAGGGAGUAGAGUUGGCAGCUGCAGAAACCAAAUGGGGAGUUGAUGUUUUCCAACCUCCCUGUUUUCCUCCUUUAGAAUGAGGCAACCGUGCGGGAAAGGUGACCUUAGUCAGGCUGGAGGCAGCAGUAACAGCGGUGGCCCCGUGUCCUUGGACUGACUCGCGUGGACAGCAGUUCCAGGCAGCAGGGGGUUGGUGAGGCCACAGUGCACUGGCAGUGGCUCUCCGUGCCUCUUGGUAGCACGACUUAAUAACUCGUCUCUGCGCUCAUUGAACAGUAUCCAGUGUGGAUGCUCUAGGAAUAGGGCUUUGCUCAAAUGAGAACUUUUUAAAAGACUAAGGUCAUCUGAGGCCUAUGCAGGGAUGGAAAGCUUUGAAGCUCAGCAAAGAAGGGAAGUCCAUUGAGAACAGUCUGUAAAGGAACCCUUCAUCUAAUAGGAUUAUCUAAGGGGACAGAGUAGAGGAAACGUCAAGUGAGAGAGGAAGAAGCAUGGCCUAUGUAUCCAGACCACUCCUAAGACGGAUUCUUCAGUGCCUUGAACAAAGAUCCUAUUGCUGCAGUGAACCUGAACCUGGUGUUAUUUGGUAAAAAUGACCUCAAAAAUCAAAUGUCAUUGAAGUGUUAACAGUCCCAUCGUUCUGGGAGGUCUCCCUGGGCCCAGGAAGAAAUGGCUUUCGUGAAUAUCCAGGCGUGCUUGGGGAUCUGCCAUGUAAGAGCUGUCAGGACACAGUCUUUGAAAGAAUGGGUCAGGAAAGCAACAUUUGAAAGCUGUGAACAUUCGAAGCAUUUGGCAGGUUGCAAUCCAGACAUGCUGAAUGGUCUGCCUUCCC